rnacentral:lncRNA from 1 species
AAAAAUACAGCUGGCUCCAAGAGCAUCUGGGAAGCAGAAGGAUUAGCGAGGAGCCCUUAAUUGCAGCAGAACAAAGACCCCUGCUGAAGGGAAUGUUUCUUUCACCAGUUGCACCUGCAAGCAGAAGCAGCAAGUGCAGAGGUUAAGAACAUGGACACUGGAACCAGACUGCCUGGGGGCCCUGCCACUUACCAGCUAUGUGACCUUUGCUAAAGAUUUAUCUUUUCUGUGCCUCUGUUUGCUUAUCUGUAAAACAUGGAUAACCACAGUACCAACAUUAUGGUGUUGUGAUGAUUCAAUAGCUUAUACUAUUCAAUACACUUGAAACAGUUCCUGGCACCUAAUAAAUGUUACCUAAGUGUGUGGUU